CUGGCAAGGAAUAGAAUAAAAGAGAAAGAAAGGGAGGAAAAGAGGAUCGAAAGAAAGAAGAUGAAGAAGGCAAAAAUAGAUGAAUAUAGAGGAGGCCGUCAUAAAGAGGGAUAGUUUGUGGUUAACUUGAAAAAAAAGGAUGAGGAGAAGAGUGCAUAGAAAGAAAAGGGAGGAGAAAAAGGAGGAAGAGAAUGGGUGGAGAAAGUGAAGAAGAAAAGGGAGAAGGAGAAUGGGUGAAGAAAGGAGAGAAGAAGAAAAGAAGAGGGAGAAAGAGGGGGA
rnacentral:lncRNA from 1 species